UACGUAGGUGGCAAGCGUUGUCCGGAUUUACUGGGCGUAAAGAGCGCGCAGGCGGUCGUUCAAGUCGCGUGUGAAAGCCCCCGGCUCAACUGGGGAGGGUCACGCGAUACUGAUCGACUCGAAGGCAGGAGAGGAAGUGGAAUUCCCGGUGUAGUGGUGAAAUGCGUAGAUAUCGGGAGGAACACCAGUGGCGAAGGCGACUUCCUGGCCUGUUCUUGACGCUGAGGCGCGAAAGCUAGGGAGCAAACGGG
rnacentral:rRNA from 1 species